rnacentral:rRNA from 1 species
AUUGAACGCUGGCGGCAUGCCUUACACAUGCAAGUCGAACGGUAACGCGGGGCAACCUGGCGACGAGUGGCGAACGGGUGAGUAAUGCAUCGGAACGUGCCCAGUAGUGGGGGAUAGCCCGGCGAAAGCCGGAUUAAUACCGCAUACGACCUACGGGUGAAAGCGGGGGAUCGCAAGACCUCGCGCUAUUGGAGCGGCCGAUGUCAGAUUAGGUAGUUGGUGAGGUAAAGGCUCACCAAGCCUUCGAUCUGUAGCUGGUCUGAGAGGACGACCAGCCACACUGGGACUGAGACACGGCCCAGACUCCUACGGGAGGCGGCAGUGGGGAAUUUUGGACAAUGGGCGCAAGCCUGAUCCAGCCAUGCCGCGUGCGGGAAGAAGGCCUUCGGGUUGUAAACCGCUUUUGUCAGGGAAGAAAAGCUCCGGGCUAAUGCCUCGGGGUAAUGACGGUACCUGAAGAAUAAGCACCGGCUAACUACGUG